rnacentral:rRNA from 1 species
GAUGAACGCUGGCGGCGUGCCUAAUACAUGCAAGUCGAGCGAAUGGAUUAAGAGCUUGCUCUUAUGAAGUUAGCGGCGGACGGGUGAGUAACACGUGGGUAACCUGCCCAUAAGACUGGGAUAACUCCGGGAAACCGGGGCUAAUACCGGAUAACAUUUUGAACCGCAUGGUUCGAAAUUGAAAGGCGGCUUCGGCUGUCACUUAUGGAUGGACCCGCGUCGCAUUAGCUAGUUGGUGAGGUAACGGCUCACCAAGGCAACGAUGCGUAGCCGACCUGGGAGGGUGAGCGGCCACACUGGGACUGAGACACGGCCCGGACACCUACGGGAGGGAGCAGUAGGGAAUCUUCCGCAAUGGACGAAAGUCUGACGGAGCAACGCCGCGUGAGUGAUGAAGGCUUUCGGGUCGUAAAACUCUGUUGUUAGGGAAGAACAAGUGCUAGUUGAAUAAGCUGGCACCUUGACGGUACCUAACCAGAAAGCCACGGCUAACUACGUGCCAGCAGCCGCGGUAA